GGAGUACGAAGAGGAGUACAUUUGGUGGUAGGCCGAGAAGAAAGAGGAGUACAUUUGGUGGAACAAAACAGGGUGGAGGAUAAAGCUGAAGAUCGAGUAAAGGUUCAAUGGUUCAGAGGAUCAACUUAAACACACUGCACAAAUUAGUGUGUUGCCUAUCUGCAAAUCUCUUGUGUUGAUACAGAGAUGCUUGCGAUAAGAGGAGAGUUUGAAGCUAGCAGCUAAUUACUAGUAUGGAGGAAUCAAAAUGAUGUACGUCUUAAUUCGUACAAUAUAUUUUAAAUCAACUUCUCAUGGAUUCAGUUUGAGAUAUUUUUGGAUUGCAGUAUAUGUAACAAGCAUACUUAGUCUGUCGGUAUAUUCUGUAAAAUAUUAUUAUAGUUUUGUUAGGAUAUCUCUGCUGACUUUUGUAAUACAUAAAUUUCUUUCUGCUGUAAAUGCAACCAAGUAUGGUACGGUACAUGCCAUGUAUUUGUACUUGCUGAUUUUAAUCCAAAUUUGAGGACUACUGAUUUGGAGAAGCUUUUUGUGGGCUUCAAAGACAGUGAAUCUGGGAACGCUUUACACAGGUGAAGGAUCGUGGAAUACUUUGCACAGCUUUGCUAAACAAGCAUCAUUUUUGCAUUCCAUAAUUGGUGAUAUC